GACGAACGCUGGCGGCGUGCCUAAUACAUGCAAGUAGAACGCUGAAGGAGGAGCUUGCUCUUCUGGAUGAGUUGCGAACGGGUGAGUAACGCGUAGGUAACCUGCCUGGUAGCGGGGGAUAACUAUUGGAAACGAUAGCUAAUACCGCAUAAGAGUAGAUGUUGCAUGACAUUUGCUUAAAAGGUGCAAUUGCAUCACUACCAGAUGGACCUGCGUUGUAUUAGCUAGUUGGUGGGGUAACGGCUCACCAAGGCGACGAUACAUAGCCGACCUGAGAGGGUGAUCGGCCACACUGGGACUGAGACACGGCCCAGACUCCUACGGGAGGCAGCAGUAGGGAAUCUUCGGCAAAGGACGGAAGUCUGACCGAGCAACGCCGCGUGAGUGAAGAAGGUUUUCGGAUCGUAAAGCUCUGUUGUAAGAGAAGAACGAGUGUGAGAGUGGAAAGUUCACACUGUGACGGUAUCUUACCAGAAAGGGACGGCUAACUACGUG
rnacentral:rRNA from 1 species